GGGGGUGAAUAGGUCUCGACGAAAACGAUUGAUGUAAUGACAGCAGGUCGGAGUUAGUCGAUGGCUCCGUAAAAAUCGACUAAAAAAUAAACAACGAUGAUUUAACUUCAACACAAAACUCCAAAAUUCCUAUUUUAGGAACGCUUUUGUUAGGCUUUUUCUUAUGGAUAGAAAAAAAAUUCAAAGGCUUCAAGAAUCUUGGAGCAGUGCCAAUGGCUGCUUAAAGCAGUCACGUUUUAUCUUAAGACACCUGCUAUGAGAAUAAAACGAAAAAGAGCAGGUUAGUUUUAAACUGUUUGUAUCGUCAGUUUAAAGUGAAAUUGAAAUGAUACCGGUUUAUAACGUAAUCUUGUCUGGAGACAACGUUAUAAAUGAGAAAAAUUUCCAGACUAAACCUGUAGUGGUCUUACUGAAACAUUUUCGGACGCGGGUUCGAUUCCCGCCACCUCCAUUU
rnacentral:tmRNA from 1 species